UGGGAAUAUUCCAGGUGAAUGAGAGCACCAUGGUGUUGUCCCACUUGUUCACCAUCAUCAACAGUCUGCAGGGGCUGUUUGUUUUCCUCAUUUACUGCGUCUUCAACCGCCAGGUGGUGACUGAAUGUCGGAAAUGGUUGACCAGAAAGCACAAGAAUUUCACCACCGAAUCCUCACAGAUUGAGAUGAACCCGACUGAGACUCAUAAAACGUCAUAAGUGGAAAGUUCAAGACUCAAGGACAAGAUUUAUCUCAGUGGAUUUUCCUCCUUUCAUGCUCUCUCAGUCGUUCCCCAUCUUGCUCUGCUUUCCACCCCGAAGAUUAUGGAUUGAAGUCACACUCCAGUGGUGGGAGAUUUACGUUUCAGGACUGCUCGCUCCUCCAGAGUUAUUUGGCUCAUCCUGGGCUUGUGAAAAUACACUGUAGAAUGUAAAGCAGUGUCUGCAAGUGAGCUGAUCAGGGAAUGUGCGGAUGAACAUUGGCUUUUGUGCAUGUGACCACAAAUAUAUUUCUGUAUUUUUCCUCAUUUUCCAUGUUUUGCCCAACCAUCCCGCAUUAUUCAGCAUUAUUCCCCCUGAGAUACUCGACAGUGCAGACAACACU